rnacentral:rRNA from 1 species
UACGUAGGGUGCAAGCGUUUGUCCGGAAUUAUUGGGCGUAAAGAGCUCGUAGGCGGUUUGUCGCGUCUGCUGUGAAAAUCCGGGGCUCAACCCCGGACUUGCAGUGGGGUACGGGCAGACUAGAGUGUGGUAGGGGAGACUGGAAUUCCUGGUGUAGCGGUGGAAUGCGCAGAUAUCAGGAGGAACACCGAUGGCGAAGGCAGGUCUCUGGGCCACUACUGACGCUGAGAAGCGAAAGCAUGGGGAGCGAACAGG